rnacentral:misc_RNA from 1 species
AAGUCGUAACAAGGUUUCCGUAGGUGAACCUGCGGAAGGAUCAUUAAUGAAAGAUAAUUUUUUGGGGUUUUAAAUUCCAAAAAAUAAUUCACCUUUUGUGCAUUGUUAUUAGAUAUACUUUGGUUAGAGCUUUGAUUUCAUUUAUUGGAAUCAACUUCUUGCUGACUCUAUCCUUUCUGAGGACAGUUGGCUAUGAAGCGGCCUACCAAGGUUUUUUAUCAAACUCUUGUAUUUUGUCUGACCUAAACUAUUAUAAUUAAAUCAUAACUUUCAACAACGGAUCUCUUGGCUCUC